rnacentral:misc_RNA from 1 species
GAUGAAGAACGUAGCGAAAUGCGAUAAGUAUUGCGAAUUGCAGAAUUUAGUGAGUCAUCGUAUCUUUGAACGCACAUUGCGCCCUUUGGUAUUCCGAAGGGCAUACCUGUUCGAGCGUCAUUUUGCUAUUCAAGCUCUGCUUGGUACUGGGUAUUGUCUUUCUUCCGAGAAGACUCGCCUUAAAUUUAGCAGCGUUCUUGUAUCGAUCCUUAAGCGCAGUACAUUGCCGCUAUACAAGAUCAAUUACAGGUUAGCUGAUAAAAAGACACACUUAUUUUGACCUCGGAUCAGGUAGGGAUACCCGCUGAACUUAAGCAUAUCAAUAAGCGGAGGA